rnacentral:rRNA from 1 species
GCAUAUCAAUAAGCGGAGGAAAAGAAACUAACAAGGAUUCCCCUAGUAACGGCGAGUGAAGCGGGAACAGCUCAAGCCUAAAAUCUGCAAGUUGUUUUUACAAUCUUGUCGAAUUGUAGCUUAUGGAAUCAGUUAUCGGCCUUGCGGCCCAGUAAAAGUUCUUUUGAAUAAGACAUCAAAGAGGGUGAAAAUCCCGUAUUUGACUGGGUUUAUGGGAUUUGUGAACUGUUUUCUUUGAGUCGGGUUGUUUGGAAAUGCAGCCCUAAUUAGGAGGUAAAUUUCUUCUAAAGCUAAAUAUAAGCAAGAGACCGAUAGCAUACAAGUACCGUGAGGGAAAGAUGAAAAGCACUUUGAAAAGAGAGUGAAAAGUACGUGAAAUUGUUGAAAGGGAACCGGUUGGUAGCUAAGCAUCCGCAGUUGGGAGGGUAGCUUUUCGGAGUUGCACUUUUGGCGAGUGGGGGGUCAACAUCGGUUGGUAUUGCCUGAAAGGAGAAUUUACCUGUUAGCCAAGGUAAGGUAGAGUAGUUGGUGGCCAAUACGAAUUUCGGUUUGUGUUGGAAUCACGCUGAUUGCUUGGUAUAGACUUUCAUUUGCACGUUAUGAACCCUUUGGGGUGGUAGCGACCCGAGGUAAAUUCACAAGUGUGGGUUAGCAGUUUCGGAUUGUUGGCACUUGGGUGAAUUUUUUGUGGGUAUUGGUAUUGGC